rnacentral:lncRNA from 1 species
UCCUACUGGACUUGCCGACGGGCCUCGAUGGAGUCUUCCAGUUGGCGGUGCAUCUCCUUCAGUGAGGUGACGUCGUCCCCUCCGCUGCCGCCGUCGGUCUAGGAGUCUAUGGCGAAAUGGGGUCAGUGUGGAGUGGGACAGAAGGAACGGAGAUGCUUGAGGAGUUUGAUGAGUGCUGGGUCACUGGGAGGGGGGUCGGCCUAGACCCCUUCCUCUGUUUCAGUUUUAAGAAG